rnacentral:rRNA from 1 species
AGCAGCCGCGGUAAUUCCAGCUCCAAUAGCGUAUAUUAAAGUUGUUGCAGUUAAAAAGCUCGUAGUUGAAUUUCGGGAUCAAUUAAUCGGUCGUGCCUCUGGUACGCACUGGUUUUAUUGGUUUCUCCCUUCUGACGAACCAGGAUGUCAUUAAUUUGGUGUCUUGGAGAAUCAGGACUGUUACUUUGAAAAAUUAGAGUGUUUAAAGCAGGCUAACGCUUGAAUACAUUAGCAUGGAAUAAUGAAAUAGGACGUUUGAUCCUAUUUUGUUGGUUUCUAGGAUCGACGUAAUGAUUAAUAGGGAUAGUUGGGGGCAUUAGUAUUCAAUUGUCAGAGGUGAAAUUCUUGGAUUUAUUGAAGACUAACUACUGCGAAAGCAUUUGCCAAGGAUGUUUUCAUUAAUCAAGAACGAAAGUUAGGGGAUCGAAGACGAUCAGAUACCGUCGUAGUCUUAACCAUAAACUAUGCCGACUAGGG